UACGUAGGGUGCGAGCGUUGUCCGGAAUUAUUGGGCGUAAAGAGCUCGUAGGCGGUGUGUCACGUCGGCCGUGAAAACCUGCAGCUUAACUGUGGGCGUGCGGUCGAUACGGGCAUCACUGGAGUUCGGCAGGGGAGACUGGAAUUCCUGGUGUAGCGGUGAAAUGCGCAGAUAUCAGGAGGAACACCGGUGGCGAAGGCGGCACUCUGGGACGGUACUGACGCUGAGACGCGAAAGCGUGGGGAGCAAACAGG
rnacentral:rRNA from 1 species